CUCAUCUUUGCAUCUAUUCAUUUCCACAGCCGCCUCGAUCUACAGGUUUCUGUCCUCCUACCUCAGGCCUGAUUAUUUUCUUGUUUUUUUCCGUUAGAUUCAUUUAGAUCGUCUCGCGAUCUACGUUGUGGUUAUGGUUUUUCCGACUUUUGUUUCGUCGCUGGUUUUUCAAAGUUUGAUAGAUCGGUCGCCUGGUUUGUGCACUAGCCUCAGUUGUGGAACGUAGCCUCUUAUGCGCUGGAUGCGGCGGUGAAACACCGAGGUUUUGCUAGAUCUGCAACCGUGUUUGGCGGAUCGUUGAAGAUUCGUUUUUCCGUGAUUGAUUGGAAACAUCAAUUUACUGGAUAUGGAAAUACAAAGGCAUCUUGAGAAGGCACGAUCAUUUGACGAUGGGCAUUAUCUGUGUGGAGUCCUCUUGAGUUUUAUCUACAUGGCUCUGGUGCAGCAGCUGAGUUAUUCAAGGGAGGUGAAUUGAUUUGUGUUAUGUUGUUUCAUAUGUUCUUGUUGUCUGUAGACUCGGCGAACUGUUGAGGUAUCAGACUGUAAAAAAUGAAAAAUGAGUGAGCGAGGUAAGGUGAUAUGUGAAAAGUGAGGUGAGAUGUGCUUGUCUGCAUGACCUUUGCCAUGAUGGGUGCGCUCGCAUGGCAGGUCGCCCGUUAAUAAAAGUUGUCAUUUUUGGUUUUGAGGGGAGAUGGUACGGGGAUUCGCCCGGCGCUCCCCUGUGUGUGGUGUCCUCUCGUCUCCAUUCACUCUCUGCCCUCUUUUCUUUUCUUUAUUGUUAACCCACACGAAGCUCAAAUCCAAUCACGCCAAAAUUGUUUGGUCUUGAAUUGGUCGUAUACCAUAUAAUAAAACAUACAACCAAUUCAAGACCAAAACAUGUCACAUAUUUGAAAGCGAUCAAGCAAUUUUGAGGGUUCAGUUUUCUUCUCAGCAUCCACUUCAAUCAGCAUCCACCACAAUAGAGGUACCGAUUUGCGAUUUCUCAGUAUCUGCUUAUCUUGUUCACUUGCAUAUCUUUAACAUUCUCAAUUCUUUUAUUAGGACUAACACUUUUCUGGUAACUAGGAAUAUUUUAAUUACUUAAUUUACUAGUUAAAAUUAUCUACAUACAGUUACUGUAGGUUACUGAAAUGGCGUAUUUGUUUAUACUGUUUCCAUUUCAUCCCAUAAUAGCAAUACACUAGAUGUUCUAAUCACUGGAUUAGCUAUAUUAAUUUGAAAAUCUUUUUGUUUCAUCUUUGGAUCGACUGUUAUUAAUGAACAACUGGAUAACAUAUAUUAAAACAUAACUCAUAACUUCAUUUUGCGUUCUCAAUUUUUAAUUUCCAAACUUGUCAAUCUGGAAACGCCAAUCUCGACUUAAAACUGGAAGCAUUUACAUUUACCAUCACUGUCUUACAUGGUUCGUAUCUAGUAUUUGAAGAAGAGCUGCGAAGUAUAUAAUCAUGGAGACAAUAUUAAUCGAUAACCGAGUAUGCCCUUUUUGUGUUUUAGAUUCCUUUAGUUAAUUCUUUAUUGUUGUUGGUAAAGCACAUGUUCUAGCUCUUUUGUUACUGAGGCGCCUCUGUUGAGGGUUGUAGCUAUUGCAUUAGAUUAUUGAUGUGUUCUAGUUUAUAAUUAUCAACCAUCUGGAAGGUUGUUGCUAUUACUCUGUAUGUGUUGUUUAUAGUAUAAAGCUGUAGCAUGGUUGUAAUAGAUCAGCUAUUCAGUAGAUGGUUGGUUUCUUAUUGGAUUCGGAGGAGUCCCUUCAAGUGGAGUAUUUCCCCUCUUAUUGAGUGGAGGCUGACUGUGUUUGAUGUUGUGCUGCUUCUGCCCGUGACCAAAUUUUGCUGCUUGGCGAGGGAAUGUUCGCAAGGAUAAUGGUCCACAUUGGUGCUGUGAUGUCGAUGCGUGUUUAUUCCCUGUGAGCAUGUACUUCAUUUGUCUCUCCAAAUGUAGUCACUGAAGAUAAUUGUCAAGUAAGCUGCAAUUAACUUCAGCUGUUCUCUCUUUAUGUUGCAAAGUACACUAUGCUAAGCAGGGUAACUUUUUUUUCUUUUCUUAUUUCUGCUAAGCAGGGUAACUUAUGUUGUUAGAUUUUACUUUGGCUCCCUGUUACCCAGUUUGUCUAGAUGUUAUUAUUUAUGUGGUCUGUUUUCUCUGUAUUUUAAUUGAUUCUUUUGUGGUGGUUUGUGUCCCAGAAAUCUUGAUCACGUGUGCAUUAGUCUAAAGCACAUGUCAUUGGAAAGCUUACUUUGGGAGGGAUAUGCGCUUUGCAUAACAUAUUGGUUGGAUUUGUUGGUAAAAACUGCUUAUGGUUUAUCGGUUGGGUCAUUUGUCGACUCUCGAUCGAAAUGACAUGAGGUGUUAAUCAUGACAAUGAUAUACGUCUAUGCCAAGCCAGAGUUUUGGAUAA